UACGAAGGGGGCAAGCGUUGUUCGGAAUCAUUGGGCGUAAAGCGCGUGUAGGCGGUCUAAUAAGUCGAGUGUGAAAUCCCUAGGCUCAACCAAGGAAGUGCAUUCGAAACUAUUAGACUAGAAGAUGGUAGAGGAUGGUGGAAUUCCAGGUGUAGAGGUGAAAUUCGUAGAUAUCUGGAGGAAUACCGGUGGCGAAGGCGGCCAUCUGGGCCAUUCUUGACGCUGAGACGCGAAAGCGUGGGUAGCAAACAGG
rnacentral:rRNA from 1 species